AGUCGAGCGGCAGCACGGGUACUUGUACCUGGUGGCGAGCGGCGGACGGGUGAGUAAUGCCUAGGAAUCUGCCUGGUAGUGGGGGAUAACGCUCGGAAACGGACGCUAAUACCGCAUACGUCCUACGGGAGAAAGCAGGGGACCUUCGGGCCUUGCGCUAUCAGAUGAGCCUAGGUCGGAUUAGCUAGUUGGUGGGGUAAAGGCUCACCAAGGCGACGAUCCGUAACUGGUCUGAGAGGAUGAUCAGUCACACUGGAACUGAGACACGGUCCAGACUCCUACGGGAGGCAGCAGUGGGGAAUAUUGGACAAUGGGCGAAAGCCUGAUCCAGCCAUGCCGCGUGUGUGAAGAAGGUCUUCGGAUUGUAAAGCACUUUAAGUUGGGAGGAAGGGCAUUAACCUAAUACGUUGGUGUUUUGACGUUACCGACAGAAUAAGCACCGGCUAACUACGUGCCAGCAGCCGCGGUAAUACGUAGGGUGCGAGCGUUAAUCGGAAUUACUGGGCGUAAAGCGUGCGCAGGCGGUUUUGUAAGUCUGACGUGAAAUCCCCGGGCUCAACCUGGGAAUUGCGUUGGAGACUGCAAGGCUGGAGUCUGGCAGAGGGGGGUAGAAUUCCACGUGUAGCAGUGAAAUGCGUAGAGAUGUGGAGGAACACCGAUGGCGAAGGCAGCCCCCUGGGUCAAGACUGACGCUCAUGCACGAAAGCGUGGGGAGCAAACAGGAUUAGAUACCCUGGUAGUCCACGCCCUAAACGAUGUCUACUAGUUGUCGGGUUUUAAUUAACUUGGUAACGCAGCUAACGCGUGAAGUAGACCGCCUGGGGAGUACGGUCGCAAGAUUAAAACUCAAAGGAAUUGAC
rnacentral:rRNA from 1 species